GUCCUCCACCUGGAGGGAUCACCGGCGAUAUCCUCUACUGUCUCAUCCAGUAGUCCCACUUGGGUUAUAGGUGAUUUCACCAACCUGCAUUGUGGUUUUCUGGUUGCUACCUCUUUGAAGUAUCCACUUCAGCCACUAGCAGAGACCAUUCUCAUUGCACUGUUACACCUUUUAUCACUAUUUCAACAAUCAUCCAGUACUUAUCUGUUAGGGAUAUUGUACAUCUUGGUUCGAAUUUGGAUCCCCUGGGAUUUCAUUCUAUAUCAUUCUAUAUUAUUUAAUAAUUCUGAUUUUGCAUUGGUGUAACAGUGCCUAUUGUGUAAUGUUAUAUGUUACAUCCUUCCUGUCACUAUUCCUUACCACCUGACCGUAUUACUGACUGCAUACGACAGUGCCUGACUGACCUAAAUUGCUUUCUAUUCUAUAUGUGUUACUGUUCAUUGGUAUUAGAUCUUGAAUAUUAAUAGCAUUACCAAUUUAUAUCUACUCUCUGAUGAGUCCUGCACAUUACAGGAUGAAACGCGUUGGAGUUCUGCCACCAUCUGCUUUUAAUUCCCUUACCCUAUCCACACUAUAUUAGGAAGGGCCCAUUGUAGGUAGCUAAGAUUAGAUAUUCCCCUGUACCCUUUUCCCCAUUCCCCCACACUGAUGGUGUUAUUACGGUAACCUUAUAUUUGAUUUAUUUUAUGUUUUGAUCUAUAAGUAAAAGUUAUGUUUUAUUCAUUCACCUAAUUGGUGUACUUUCUUUGUGGAUAUGAACAUGGUUAUAGCAGGAAAACUCAA